rnacentral:lncRNA from 1 species
AUAUUUGUAAUCCUAAAACUGGUUCUUCUCACAUUCUUAUUCAACAUAUAAUUCCAUCUCUCAUACAAUCAAUUUCUAACAUUUCAUAUUGUUAUCACUUCCCUGGCAGGCGCACCAAAAUAUUGUUCUCGUUGUAUUCAAGCUUCAAUAUACCAAAGCAAUUGAAGUAAUAGAUGUGGAUUCGAACACGAGGAAAGACUGGUUAUAUAAAUUGGGUCUAUUAGUGUCACAAUUGACUGUACUCUAACUAUUUGAAAUCAAUUAUCAAACUACAAAACAAGAAGGCUUACUACUUCCGUCUUAAUUCAAUACAUAAUCCAUUCUACGAAUAUCAAUUCAACAAUACUUCCAUAUUCUUAUUGAUUCAUCUCUCAUUUACUCUCUUUGCCAUUUAAAUAUACUCAAUUACUAAUCUCCAGCUUACUUAUUAUACUUUGUUUCUCAAUUCAUCAUACAAAAUUCAAUAUCUUCACUUAACACAUUACAAUUCGAUAAUCUCAAUUCUCAAGGUCACAGAUUUUCUUCAAAACAGUUAGUCCAAAGUCAUAUUUUACAAUAUUCUAAUCACAGUUUCAAUAAUACUUCUCUCAA